CACGUAGGGUGCGAGCGUUGUCCGGAAUUAUUGGGCGUAAAGAGCUCGUAGGCGGUGUGUCGCGUCGAUCGUGAAAACUUGGGGCUUAACCCUGAGCUUGCGGUCGAUACGGGCAUGACUGGAGUUCGGCAGGGGAGACUGGAAUUCCUGGUGUAGCGGUGAAAUGCGCAGAUAUCAGGAGGAACACCGGUGGCGAAGGCGGGUCUCUGGGCCGAUACUGACGCUGAGGAGCGAAAGCGUGGGGAGCGAACAGG
rnacentral:rRNA from 1 species